GACGAACGCUGGCGGCGUGCUUAACACAUGCAAGUCGAACGGAAAGGCCCUGCUUUUGUGGGGUGCUCGAGUGGCGAACGGGUGAGUAACACGUGAGUAACCUGCCCUUGACUUUGGGAUAACUUCAGGAAACUGGGGCUAAUACCGGAUAGGAGCUCCUGCUGCAUGGUGGGGGUUGGAAAGUUUCGGCGGUUGGGGAUGGACUCGCGGCUUAUCAGCUUGUUGGUGGGGUAGUGGCUUACCAAGGCUUUGACGGGUAGCCGACCUGAGAGGGUGACCGGCCACAUUGGGCCUGCGAUACGGCCCAGACUCCUACGGGAGGCAGCAGUGGGGAAUAUUGCACAAUGGGCGGAAGCCUGAUGCAGCAACGCCGCGUGCGGGAUGACGGCCUUCGGGUUGUAAACCGCUUUCGCCUGUGACGAAGCGUGAGUGACGGUAAUGGGUAAAGAAGCACCGGCUAACUACGUG
rnacentral:rRNA from 1 species